rnacentral:miRNA from 1 species
UGAAAUUUUUUCUAUUUUUUUU